GGUUAGUUGAGCUCACCCUUUCUUUCACUGUUCUCUUCAGGAAAUGAAAACAUAGCCGGGACUAGUCGUGGAAUGGAGUGACGGUCCAGAUGAUAGUAUUAGUAGUCCUCACUAUUCUGUUAAAUAGUGUGACAAUAAAUGUAAUGAAGACUUAUUCUGAGAGUGGAUAUUGUCUAGAUGACAAUAUUUGUAUUAAAACUC
rnacentral:lncRNA from 1 species